GGUAAAGAACUUCAGUGCGCAACGCAGGGUGCGUAUCACGAAAAAACACAGGAGGUGAAUGACAGGACUGAUAAUGCGCUCGCUGUCGUUAGAACUUUGAUUACGUGGCGCUUAUUCAGACAUAUUCCACACAUGGCAGAUCUCCUGGAGACUGGACAAUGAAACUUGUCCAUCUACACUAUAGAUGCAUGACUAAUUUUGCCUUUUGACAGUUGCAGUGCUUAAACGAUAGAGGGAAUAAAAUCAAACGCGUGUAAGAAAUAUAGUUUCCAGGGGUGGAAAGACUUUAAAGGAUAUGGUGAUAUGAAGCUUUUUAGUCACUAAAGCAUUGCUGAAAUCGUUCUAAGCUUCCAGGCGCCGAAGAGGAGGAGGAGGAGGAGGAUGUUUUUUGGAUUUGUGCCUCUUCAACAGAAGCAAGGCUUAUUUAAGAAGAAAGAUCAUGGUGGCUGUCAGAGGGAAGGAUUCGGGAUCCGAGCAGCUGAAGGAAGCCAGUGAGGAGAGCUACGAAGCGGCCACGGCUGAGAGCACACUCGGGAGUCUACUCCGCUGGGGUUAAAGAGUGCAGUGUGCACUACUUCCUGCCGCAGGUAGAGCUGUCACAGUGUGGUGUGGAGCUCUAGCUGUGUCAUAGGCUUGCCGUGUCCUUGCUGCGAGAGCUGCUCUGCUGGAUAUCGCAAUCGUUCUCACACGCACAAGCAGAGGAAUCUAUAUCCCGCCAUCGGCAUGGAGAAGUGCUGUUCUGAGUGUUCAGAGCCCAGGAUGGCACAGAGCUUGUGCACCUUCUGCAACAAGUGGAUGUGUUUCCAGUGCACAGACUUGCAUCAGCAUGAGAGAAGCUCCACUCAAACCUUUGACCUGCAGCACCAGCCACGAGACCCUCCUUCACCGUCUGAAAUAGGCAAGAGAAUUUUUCUUUUACUGAUCUGUAAUUACUUUCCUCUUUCAGCUCAGGUCGGCUGUUUGCGUGCACAUUUCUGCUCUUGGCCACCGGACAUUAUCAGCUCUGCACGAUAUUUUUUUUCAACCCCUCUUCUUAAACUCAAUGAAUAAUGCAUUUUAUAAUUGUCCUGUGAUGUAUUGUAGUGUUGUAUUUUUUUUAUGUGACCCACUUUCUAAAACUGAUUCUCUCUAAGCAAACGCAGCACAAUUUUGGCCAGCCUGUCCGAGGCUAGCUUUCUUUUAUCGAUACUCCUGAGCUUUCUCUCAAGAUUCUCUGAAAUCCACGCAUGAUAAUGACACCACAAGUCCUCACACAAAAUGAAAGAUGGAGUGAUAAAAGAGCAUAAGAAAAAGAAAGGGUGGUAGAGUGUGAGAGAAACAGAAGUGCGGGUGUGAAGCAGGAUGUGGUCGGUCACCAGUAUGCACUGAGGCAGUGGGAGCUCUUCAGUGUUGGAGCCUGUGGUCUCGUACUUUAACACAUCUCUCCCUGUGCAAUGUGUCAGCGUGUCUCUGUCUACCCUACACUGUCACAGCAUCAGCCGGCCGGCGCUUCUGAUGGACAGACUGUAUAUCCAGUGUGACAGGUGCUGUCGGUUGAGGUCCUUCAUUUCUGCAUUCUGCCUGACUAACUCUCUCUGCACACAGAAUUAUGUAUGCAAAGGGACUAUUCAAGUAAUGGUUUAUUUAGAUUAGGAUUUUUGCUACAAUGGAACGGAAAUGAGAAUGUUUGAUUUAUUUGUUUACGCCUUUUGCUUCAGCCCAGGUUAAUGCAGAUGUCUUUAUUCAAAGAAAUUAAUUUCUGGAAAAAAAACUUUGCCAGGCAUCUCUGGUGUUUUCUU